GUGUGUGUAGAUUAUUUUUAAAUCGUAAGGCUGUUAACUUUAAGAAAGCUUACUAGCUCACAGACG
rnacentral:tRNA from 1 species